GCUGCCGGCAGCCCCGGGGGCAGCGCGCAGCCUGCGGGGCUGAGGGUGUGGCGCCGAGAGGUGCCGCCGCUCCGGAGCUGCGGGAAGCGAUCCUUGCCCUCCCGCCGAGCGCGCCAGCGGCGGCACUGGGAAGCAGCAGCGCGGAAAGCAGAUCCCUGCCGCUGUCUGUAAGGAAACCGGGGCCGCGGGAUCAGCACCGAGUGACCGCACGCGUUGCAAACUGCUUCGAGCUAAUUCCUCAUUAUGCUGCAGUUGACCCCACAAGGGCUCUUUUUGGCGCUAUCUGUCUGCAGUGCUCCUUCGGCUCGUCGGUGGCUUCUGAAUUCUCAUCUUGGCCCGCAAAAUGGUUGGGCAAGAGCUCGGUCCCGUCUUGGUUUGUGUCCUCAACAAAUAUUAUAAAUAUAUCCCAUUUCCUCCUUUGGAUCAUUACGUAAAAGAACAAAGACCUGUAGCCGAGACAGAUGCCACCUGUGGGGUUUUUUGCUUAUUUUGCUUUGGAUUUUUUGUUUAGUUGGGUUUUUUUAAUAAUACUAAAGCACAGAGACUCACAGAAUUAGUCAAGUUGAAUCAUCUAGUCCAACCUUCUUGCUCAGACAGGGUCAUUCUAGAGCACAUGGCACAAGAUUACAUCCAGAUGGUUCUUAAAUAUUUCCAGUGAGGGAGACUCCACAGCCUCUCUCAGAAAUUUGUUCCAAUGCUAGGUCAUCUGCACGAUAAAGUUGUUCUUCCUUAAAUUCAGGUGGAACUUCUUGUGCAUCAGUUUCUGUCCAUUGCCUCUUGUCCUAUUGUUUGGCACUGAUCAUUGUUCUGGUGACAGUUUUGAUCUUCCAUCCAGUUUACCCUCACACAAUAAAAGUUCCUUAUGUCAUGUGAGAUUUGCUUAAAACUUUAAGACACACAUCAUCUCCUGCUUCUCUCCCACCUGCAAGCCUUGUAACAACCUUGUGGAGGGAAAUUAGAUUGGUUUGCCAUAAUUUGCUCUUACAAUUCCAUGAAUAGUCCCUUUUCAGCCAAGUGAUAUUAUAGAAAUAAUUCAGAUCUUAGCAAUUUCUGGUCAUUAGUUUGCAAAUAUAAAAUACAGUGUGUAGACAGAGUCUUUUGUUGGUGUCGGUCAUAAUGUGUAAUGGAUCAGAGGAUUUUACAUCAGUUUAAAGUGUUAUUAUAAUAAACAUUUCUUCUCUUUCACAGUGAGCAGAAUUUUCAACAUUUUAAAUGUUUCUUUUUAAAUUAUAUUAUUAAAAGUUCUAAUCAGGCAUUUUGCUAAACACCACCAUUUCCAAAGGCAUGUUCCAGUGCUCAGCUACGACACAUAAAUUAAAAUGCUGAAAAUAGGGGUUUUUUUCCUAUCCUUGAAGUGAUUCUCAUUCGGCCUACAUUUUUGAUGUACCUACAUGAGCGUAUUUUGCCCAUCUACAGACACCUGUAUUUUGCAUGUCCACAGACACCUGAAGAGGUCAAAUCCUUUCCCAAUCAUUUACCCUACUGUCAAACUAAACUGAAAAAAAACCCUGAAAACUAACAAGCUGCUUUGUUUUGAAACUAUGAUAUAGACUCCAGGGCUUUUUUUCACUGCCCCUGGAAAUCAUGUUACCUUUUGCAUUGCAGCUAAUUUGCAUAAUUGUUUUUCCUGCCUGGAGCAGUUGGAGGCAGUGUUAAAGUGCAAGAUAGCAUGCAGGUCACAUCAACGGAGCCGGUACUGCGGGAUCACGGCUAGGCACACACUUGAGAUAUGGGUCACUUCAAGGCCUUUGCAGGAAAAGAACAUGGUGAAAAUGUACAAUUCACUUCUUCAUUUUGACAAUAGCUCCAACACUGACAACAUUAAUAUGCAAAUACUUUUGUGGGGUUUUGUAAAGCUGAUCUAGCACAAGCUAAAAUUGAGCUAACAAUCCUCAAUAUUUUUAGUUUUAAUAAUUUAUUCUAGCACUUGUUUGUUAACUACCCUGUUAGCAGGAUAGCUAACCUGGCAGUAGGUUGUAUUGAGUAUGAGCAUGAAAUGUAUUUGGCCAUCAGAAAGGGAAUCAAUUUGCUCAGCAAUACAGCAGACAUUUUCAAAAUGCCUUGACUCUAGUGGAAUACACUGCAGUUUGACUGGGUAGUGUUUCUGUCUCUACUAACUGUGAAGAAAAUUUUACAAGUGUAUUGUACACUUCUCACAAUUGCUCUUGGCUUCGCAUUUAAAUUUUAACAUUUGAAAAUAUUGUUCUGUGUUGUUUAACUGGUAUAUUAUUGCACAGCACACAACACAACAUACAGUGGUAAAAUAGGAGUCUAGGAAAAUGCAACCAAAAAUUAACAAAAUUUUUACUGUCAGACAUCAGUCUUGAUGGAAACUACAGGUAAUCUCAGCAUCUUUCAGAAAAUUCCACUUCAGACUUUUCAAAAGUGUAACAAAAUGAAAAACGCAAUAUUUAAUUUUAAUGCAAAUUGAUAAUGUUUUCUGUGAGUAAAUGUAGGAAAAUGUUGCAUAGACUCUAAAUUGCUAUUCAACCUGAACAAUAACAUGAUAAAAACAGAACUGAUUUGUGUGUGAAAUUAGGUUGUCUUGUGUUUAAAUAUAUUUUUUCUCUACCCAAAAUCAAUUAAGAAUGAUUUCUUGCCAAAAUAACUCCAAAAUUGAAAAAUGAAAUAACAUUUGAAAAAUGAUUGGUAGAUAAUUAGGUUGGUUUGUGUGCAGCAGGAUGUAAGUGACUUAAAAAAAAAAAUUAUCCAUUCUCAUUUCUGGUUGUCUGCAUAGUACCACAUUAAUAACAUAGUAACUGCAAACUCUUCCUCAUAUAAGCCAUUUAUUUCAGACACAAUUUGAGAUAGAAAGUAUAUUAAAGAAUGGCAAAAGAAAGAUUCUUCAGAACCAAGGGGUCAUUUUAGCUUCAUGACCAGGCCUGCAACCUUUGGCCACAGAGGUAUACCACUGCAUACUAGGAUGUAGCCAUGAUAUUUUCUGAAAAAUCCUUUCCUUAGGAUUUGUUCUCCUGAGAAGCUGAGAGGCCUCAGGAACAAAACGUAGACAAUAACUAUCUGCUGCUGUGGAAUGCAACAGGUGGAUCUGUGAUUGGUCUCGUGUGGCUGUCUCUAAUUAAUGACCAAUCGCAGUCCAGCUGUCCAGACUGUCUCAAUCAGACACAAGUCUUUGUUAUUCAUUCUUUUUCUAUUCUUAGCCAGCCUUCUGAUGAAAUCCUUUCUUCCAUUCUUUUAGUAUAGUUUUAGCAUAAUAUAUAUCAUAAAAUAAUAAACCAAGCCUUCUGAAACAUGGAGUCAACAUUCUCGUCUCUUCCCUCAUGCUGAGACUCCUAUGAGCACUGUCAUACUAGGAAGAGUGUGUGCAGCAUGGGAGUCUCAGAUUCUGGGGUUUUUCCCCCCUGUCUGGUUGGCCUGGUACCAUUAAAGUAAAUAAGCUAUGGAUCAGUAUGCCUGAGGGGAAAAAAUGAUGGGAGCUGUGACUCAAGGAGAAAGCUUUUGGCCUGAAGCUGUGCACAACUAGCAGAUAUAAUCAACUGCUCAAAUCACAAAACUGUACUUCCACAACAGCAAUACCAGCCUUCACUGCAAACAAUUCUGACAUUUGUGGGGACACUAAAUUGGCUCUGCUGGAAGAGCUAAAGAGGUGGACCAAUUCUGAUACAGAACUGGAGCUAAAGAGGUGGACCAAUUCUGAUACAGAACUGGAGCUGAAGAAGCCAUAACCUUCCUCAGAGGUAUGGUACAAAGCACAAAGAUAAAAACUACAGUACCAUCUUCCUUUAUCAACUUUCCCCAGAAGUCUGCAAUGGUUCUUCCAAAUGCUGAACAGACCUGGGGGGUAGUUUAGAAGGUAAAGUGGAUGAUAGUCUUCACUCUGUCUCUUCUCUGGAGAGCUGUUUCUGGUAGCUCUGCAUAGGCAUUGUGCCAUACUUGCGGUCUUUGACAAGACUGCUCAUUUCUGCUGUCUGACUUGUACUAGGGAAAUUCUUCAUGCCCUUUUUGCUUUUCUUAUUUAAAUAACUCUGGAGGAAGGAGGAUGAUGGUUGGGAGCCAGACAUGCUCCUGACCUCUGGACAGUACUUUGAAUAAGUCAGUACUAGAAGUAAAAUUAUUCUGACACCACCAGCUAAUCCUCUCUGCACCCACACCACUGUUGAGCAGUACCUUGUCUCUUCCAGCUAAUCAGCAUUUCAGCUAACAUUUCUGAGGCGGCAGUGGGCUUAAGUGGGUCUUGAACUACACUGAGAAAUAGGCUACAAAAAAUAAUCACCAAAUAUAGGAGCCAGAGAACCUAUUUGUGCUAUUUUUGUUAAGGCGAGUAGCUCACAAAGAGGAACAAAAUAAGUAAAUUGGGAGAAAAAGAGAAGAAAAGGAGGUCAUUCUCCAACAGAAA